ACGCGGGCCGCGUCAGCCGGACCAGGUGGCAAAGGGAACAGGGUUGGUUUCUCCGGCUUCACACCCUGGCCAACGAAAUGGCAGUCGAGCUCUUGUCCCACCCGGCCC
rfam:Mesorhizobium amorphae CCNWGS0123 contig00091, whole genome shotgun sequence.